rnacentral:rRNA from 1 species
UGCCAGACUCCUACGGGAGGCAGCAGUGGGGAAUAUUGCACAAUGGGGGAAACCCUGAUGCAGCAACGCCGCGUGAGUGAAGAAGUCAUUCGUGAUGUAAAGCUCUAUCAGCAGGGAAGAAAAUGACGGUACCUGAGUAAGAAGCCCCGGCUAACUACGUGCCAGCAGCCGCGGUAAUACGUAGGGGGCAAGCGUUAUCCGGAUUUACUGGGUGUAAAGGGAGCGUAGACGGCUGUGCAAGCCAGAUGUGAAAGCCCGGGGCUCAACCCCGGGACUGCAUUUGGAACUGCGUGGCUUGAGUGUCGGAGAGGCAGGCGGAAUUCCUAGUGUAGCGGUGAAAUGCGUAGAUAUUAGGAGGAACACCAGUGGCGAAGGCGGCCUGCUGGACGAUGACUGACGUUGAGGCUCGAAAGCGUGGGGAGCAAACAGGAUUAGAUACCCGCGUAC